rfam:Sarcophilus harrisii ctg7180002238771, whole genome shotgun sequence.
GUUAAAAUGGCAGAGCUGGUAAUUGCAUAAAGUUUAAGCCUUUACUCCCAGAGGUUCAAACCCUCUUCUUAAUA